rnacentral:rRNA from 1 species
CCUACGGGUGGCAGCAGUGGGGAAUAUUGGGCAAUGGGCGCAAGCCUGACCCAGCCACGCCGCGUGAAGGAAGAAGGCUUUCGGGUUGUAAACUUCUUUUCUCAGGGACGAAGACAGUGACGGUACCUGAGGAAUAAGCCAAGGCUACCUACGUGCCAGCAGCCGCGGGACUACGUAGGUGGAAAGCGUUAUACGGAUUUAUUGGGAGUAAAGGGCGUGGAGGCGGGGGCGCAAGUCGGAUGUGAAAACUCAGGGCUCAACCUGGGGACUGCAUUUGAAAAUGGGUUGCUUGAGUGCUGGAGAGGCGAGCGGAAUUCCAGGUGUAGCGGUGAAAGGCGUAGAGAUACGGAGGAACACCAGUGGCGAAGGUGGAUUGCUGGACAGUAACUGACGCUGAGGUGCGAAAGCGUGGGGAGCAAACAGGAUUAGAUACCCCGGUAGUC